CGAAGUAACACUAGCGAAUUUACGCCAGCGUCUGUUAGCAGAUUGGCAAAUUAACGAAAAUGCGCUACGCUAGCGCAUUCACGCUGGCGUUAGGCACUUUGUCGUUUAGUGAAUUUGCCCCUUUAAAGAGUGAACGUUUAAUUUUGAAAACUAAGAGAGUCUACGUUGAAGCUCUUUUCUCUUAUACAUUUUUGCCUUUUUCACUUUAUUUUAGAAUGCGAUUCGUAUCCGAGUCAUAGAAGCCAAAAACCUUGUUGCCAAGGAAAUUUUAACCAAAUCGUUGAACCCUUAUGUUGUGAUAUGCGGAGGAGGAACAACAGCAAAGACAAGGGUGAUACACAAGAACUUGAAUCCAAAGUGGAAUGAGACCUUUGAGGUAUCGCAUCACAUACCCAGAUAUUUAUCUGUACAGUAAAUUCAGUAGAUUGCAUCUUAGAUAUUAUAACCACAUUUCUCGUUUUAUCCUUAGAUAUUAUAUUCUGACCUCCCAGAUUAGGAGAUAGAAUUUAAUCUCAUCUCUGACAAAGGUGUUAAGAUAAACCAGCAAUUGGGCAGGUGAGUAUGUCCAUAUGUGACCCUAUAAUAACAAUAAGCAGCUGUAGAAUCUGUAGAUACAGUUUCUAACUAUUUUUCAUUUCCCAUAUCUAGUUGCAGAAUUAGAAUUAAAGAGGUGCCAGAGAGAGGAUUCAUAGACAAGGUAAGUGUAGCCAGUCAUGUUGAUAUAUAAUGAUAAUAAUAGUAAUACUAAUAAUACAAAGCUUUCUGAGGCAUCUGACUAUGUUUUUUUACUUUACUAUUUUAGUGGAUAGAUUUGGAGAACGUAAAGUCUGGCCAGCUUCAUAUCAAGGUGACACGUCUCAGGCUACUUUCAGACCCAACCCAACUGGAAGAGGUAAAGUCUCUGUUCCUUUAUGCUGGCUGCCGUGGAGAUACGUUGUAAUGUUUUGUUGGUGCAUCAAAUUUUUUUUUGUUUUUCCAGGUGCUGAAAAUAAACGAACAAUCUUGGCCAAAAAGAGAUAAUGAGAUUGCUUCAGCCGUUCUGUACACCUAUAUUGAAAAAGGAAGGGGUCUGCCUGUUCUACAAAUGAAGAAGGACAAUCUGAAAGCGUUAGCUGUCGUGCAGGUUGGCGUUGAAGACAAUGUAAAGAAGUUUGGAAGCAGAAUAAAUAACGGAGAAGCAGAGUGGAAAAAGAGGUUCCAGUUAUUGAUAAGGAACCCACUUAAUGAGGAACUGAAGCUUAAGGUGAGUACAAAUGGGCUUUUCUUGCGGCUGCUGUUGUACCCAUGUAGGGUGCUGUGUUGUGUUUGUUUGCUUUCUGACCCACUUAUGACCGGUAUUUUCACAGGUUCACAAUGAACACAAUAAGCCCAUCGGAAGUAUUACCGUGCGCCUAUCUCGCCUUCUGGCUGCUUCGGAAAUUACCUUGCAGGACUGGCUGCCCCUGGAAUCAACUGAAC